rnacentral:rRNA from 1 species
UACGUAGGGUGCAAGCGUUGUCCGGAAUUAUUGGGCGUAAAGAGCUCGUAGGCGGUUCGUCGCGUCGGCUGUGAAAACCCGGAGCUCAACUCCGGGCCUGCAGUCGAUACGGGCGGACUCGAGUUCGGCAGGGGAGACUGGAAUUCCUGGUGUAGCGGUGGAAUGCGCAGAUAUCAGGAGGAACACCGGUGGCGAAGGCGGUUCUCUGGGCAUUACCUGACGCUGAGGAGCGAAAGCAUGGGGAGCGAACAGG